rnacentral:lncRNA from 1 species
AAAACAAGCUAAUUAUGUAGCCCACAUAUAAAAAACUUGUCUUAUAAGUUAAAUUACAUGUCUUACAAAUUCAAUACAUUUUAAAGGUCCUAUAAGACAUUCCUACGUAGCUCCUAAUUAAAAGUAUAUAUGAAGGCAAGAGUGAAGCCUUCUUUAUUCUUAUCAAUGCUUUUCUAGUCCUUAGUCUUAUUUCAAGUCUUUUUAGUCUUCUUAUCUUUAGCAUUAGCUAUUAUAGUUUAAUACUAUAUCAUCUUUGAGUGAUUUUUUAGUCUUUUCAAGUAACAAAAGAGUAUAUUGAUAUUUUAGUUUUUUAAGCUUGAUGUCUUUAACAAAUUUCCGAAGACCUCAAUUCUAAGAAUUAAAUAUUAAUUUAUAUAAAGAAAAGGUAGAAAAAUUCUAAAUAUAAUAAGUUUGAUUAUUUUUCUUAAAUUAAUGGAAAAUAGAUAAAUAUAUUUGGGAUUUAUACAUAGUACAGCAAAGAUCAAUAUUAUGACUGAUUUUUUCUUCUUAAUUUUAAAUUUACAUCUUUGUACCAUAUAAGCUAAAUGAACAUAAUUUUUUUAUAGAAAUAGAAUUUGGAUCAAGUAUUUUAUUUAAUUAAAAGAAUAGUAUUGAUGAAUGAGAGAAGUUAAUUUGUGUGCUACUACAUUUAUACUUUAGUUAUUAUUUUGAAGUAUUUUUAUGCCAAUUUUGGCAAAGUAUGUCAUGAUUUUUUUUUCUAAUAAUUCAAAAAUGUGAUGAAGGAUCAAAGUUCAAUUUACUAAUUUAACCAUAGAAGAAAUAAAUUUUGAUUUUAUUUCAUUUGAUUUUUAUUUUGAUUUUAUUGGUUUUUUUUUAAAAAAUAACUUUAAUAAUUUUUAAAAAACUUGCCACUUGAUU